AUGGCCUCUUGGCCUCUUGGCUCAGAUCAAGGCUAGUAUUUAUUCUCAGCAGUUUUGUAGUUGAUGUAACCUCUGCCAGAGGACAAUAUGUUAAGUGGAGUUUGGAAUUAGAAGCUUACUGUAUUCCAUUCCACUCCUGGACUUGGUAUUAUGGUAAUUCCAUGAACAGUGCAUCCCCU
rnacentral:snRNA from 1 species